GGGGGCGAACUGGUUUCGACGGAGGUAAUGAGACACGAGUGGCAUGUCGAGGUCCCACCCACCUCGUUAAACUGGUGGAACCCUUUAACUGCCGAACCUUUAGCAGUCGCGGCCUAAUAGAAAGGCACGCCGUUCCUGGGGUCCUCUCCCGCGGGGCCUCCGGAGCGCCGACUCUGCGGGAUAGCGAGCCGGUCCGGUCCUGAGGCCGGUGAGCGAAACACCUUCGGGGCUGGUCGACCGACGCCCUUCCUCUUCGGGCGACGGGAGACGAGAACAAAGAAGAGGAUAAGCAUGUAGUCACUCGAUGCCAAAUGCUUUCGGACGCGGGUUCGAUUCCCGCCGCCUCCACCA
rnacentral:tmRNA from 1 species